GCUGGGCAUGGUGGCACACACCUGUAAUCUCAGCCACUCAGGAGGCUGAGGCAGGAGAAUUGCUUGAAACCAUGAGGUGGAGGUUGCAGUGAGCCAAGACUGUGCCACUGCACUCUAGCCUGNNNNNNNNNNCAGGCUAGAGUGCAGUGGCACAGUCUUGGCUCACUGCAACCUCCACCUCAUGGUUUCAAGCAAUUCUCCUGCCUCAG
rfam:Chlorocebus sabaeus isolate 1994-021 chromosome 7, whole genome shotgun sequence.